UUGUUGGCAUGACGAUGACGGGCAGGGAGAAGCUCCAGUGCCAGUGCUGUAGCGCAGAGAGCCACACUGCUGCCCGCAGUAGGACAUGUUCUGACACUUCUGAUGCAGGGAUGGUGGGAGAGAUGGAUGGAGAGAUGUGAGAGGAGGAGAGAUGAGAGUGGGGGGAUUGGAGGAGAGGACACAAUUCAGAUGGAUUAGAAACAUUAAAAAGAAGAAAUUGUAAGUGAUAUGUGAGGAAGAAGACAUGAUGAAGAGAAUAAGAAAGAGAAGGAAAAAGUAUGUCAGUGUGGAGUCAGGUGAGUGGACUAUGCUUCAUGGAGGCAUUAGAAGACUGUUGCUGACUGAGAGGAGGUAUGUAUAAAUAAUUUAUAAUAACUUCAGUAUAAUAAAUCUUGGUGAUUCAAUAGCCUAAAUAAUCAUUACAUGACUUUUAACACACUGUCUCUGAGUUUUGCAACUUCUGGCAGUAACCAAGAACUAUAAGAGGCAGUGAAUCUCACUUCGAUUGCUGCUGACAACAACUGCAUGCAACAACCCAAACUGUACUGGUGGUAGGUAGCCCAGUGGUUAAGGAGUUGGACCUGUGGCAGGAAUUGGACCUGUGGCUGAAAGGUUUUUGGUUUGAAACCCGGGCUGGGCGCAGGAAAGAAAUGGGUGGAAUUGAUCUGACAACUGGAGGGCUGCUGGGUUCACAUCCUCAAAACAUUCCCCUACAGUUAGGCCCUUGAGCAAGGCCCUUAACCCCACAACAUGCUCUCUAUCCAGGAAAACCUACCUGAUCUUUGUGGUUGGGUCAGUGUUUGAAAUUCACUGUCUUAACUGCAUGUGUGAAGUCUGCUGUUUGGGGGUGUUGAGAAUGGAGCAGAAGCCACAUUUUCGUUGUUUGCUGUAACUAAUGGACAAAGUUGUACUGUAUUGUAAAGAUGUCAGCCAGAGUUGACAUGGGCCAACAUUCAAACAAAGAGAUACCUCCCUGGUCACCGGUGCAUAUUUCCAAAUGAUGUUAGCAUAUACAGUAAUGACAAUACAUUCUAAAAACUAUGCUGGGGUUGUUUUGUCCAUUAUUUAAUUGUUUAUUAAAUUAUAUUCUUAGAAAAAAAUAUGACUAUUUAACAGUGGUAGCCAUAAUUCAUAAAUGGCACCAUGCAGGGUUCUAUAUGGAACCCCUUUGAUUCAGUGAAGAAAAACCUCUAGGGUUCUGAUCAAAGAACCCUACAAAAGGGUAUGUUAUACCCACCGUUAUUUUAACCACCGUUAUUUUAAUAUGUUAUACCAUGGCAUUGUUGAAGACUCAUUUCUGAUUGACUUGAAGGGCAUUCUAGAGAAUAUUUUAUUUCCCUAUAGUGCGCGGUAUAUCAGCACAGUAGAAUUCAAUGGCUAUACUUAAUUCUUACAUGUUCUAUGUUUGUGCUGCUUUUGAAAUAAAAAGUUGAAUUGAACAAAUUAUUGACAUUAGAUUUUCAUAACAGCAAGCUAGGACUGCAACAAGCUCUCACAGUCUCAGGACAGAAUUAGACAUUCAUACAUGUUUCUUAAACAUACCAUUUUGAAGUUGUUUCAAAAGUAACAUUUUGAAGUGUAUGGUUACUUCUCUGUAUCAUUCCAUGGUUCCGUUUUAUCUCCAAGGAAUUAUGGUUAGGUAUUAACUCCGAAUGAUAAUAUCAAAAACAACUUCCUAUCGGGGGAUUUGAAAAUUCAACCUUUGGAACCAGAGGCUUACGCCCGUCUGCCAUCCCCGUCCACAAUGCCCUAGCAAAAUCAAAGCCUACUUGAAGGUAACAGCGCUCCCCGUUGUCCCUAGUGGCCAGUUUUCACGUCAUCUCCUGACGUCCUCAGACACGGAUGGACAUCGAAUACUGACUUGUAUCAUGCCUGAGGACUGAUGGUUUGGUUAGCUAAACUAGCAAGUCUGUUUGUUUUGUUACCAAGUCAACUACUCUCUCUAUCUAGUAAACGUGCUAGCUACUUCAGUGGAUGUUGAGCACAUUUCUACUAGCAAAUGAACACAUUUCUAGCAGUAAAUGUGUUCAAUCUGACCAUGAUAUGAAAGAGAUAAUCAACUCUGGGCUAUAUGCGAUAGCAGAGUGGAACUGACCUUCCAUGGAGUUGGAUUAUAUUCCAAAGAACGCAUAGCCCCUUGUUGAUUAUCCCUCACAUGCAGAAUAGUUUAUUACACUUCAUCAACAUCCAUUGCAUCAUUAUUGGCUUUUAAUAAAGGUUAAAAAUCUCAGUUUCUUAAAUGUGUUUGUUAGCUUUUUAAUAUUACUGUAUUCAUAAAAAAACACUAUUUGAAAACAUCCAAAGAAAAAGAAAGCAAGAGAAUAGAAAUAAAGACAGAGACUGCGAAAGUGAGAUAGAGAACUGAAGAACAAAGAGCAGUACUGUAAAGUACUUAAAUAAAAAUACUUUAAAGUACUAGUUAAAUCGUUUUUUGGGUAUGUGUACUUUACUGUAUUAUUAAUAUUUUUUACUACUUUUACUUUUACUUCACUAAAUUACUAAAGAAAAGAAUGUACUUUUUACUACAUACAUUUUCCCUGAGACUCAAAAGUACUCGUCACAUUUUGAAUGCAUAGCAGGACAGGAAAAUGGUCCAAUUCACACACUCAAGAGAACAUCCCUGGUCACCCCUACUGCCUCUGAUCUGGUGGACUCACUAAAAACAAAUGCUUUGUUUGUAAAUUAUGUCUGAGUGUUGGAGCAUGACACUGGCAUUCCGUAAAUAAUAAAACGUAAAAAAACAAUUGUGCAGUUCGGUUUGCUUACUAUAAGUAUUUUGAAAUAAUUUAUACUUUUAC